AGAGUUUGAUCCUGGCUCAGGACGAACGCUGGCGGCGUGCUUAACACAUGCAAGUCGAACGGUAAGGCCUUUCGGGGUACACGAGUGGCGAACGGGUGAGUAACACGUGGGUGAUCUGCCCUGCACUUUGGGAUAAGCCUGGGAAACUGGGUCUAAUACCGAAUACACCUCAUGGAUUUCAUGGUUUGUGGGGGAAAGCUUUUGCGGUGUGGGAUGGGCCCGCGGCCUAUCAGCUUGUUGGUGGGGUAAUGGCCUACCAAGGCGACGACGGGUAGCCGGCCUGAGAGGGUGUCCGGCCACACUGGGACUGAGAUACGGCCCAGACUCCUACGGGAGGCAGCAGUGGGGAAUAUUGCACAAUGGGCGCAAGCCUGAUGCAGCGACGCCGCGUGGGGGAUGACGGCCUUCGGGUUGUAAACCUCUUUCAGUAGGGACGAAGCGUAAGUGACGGUACCUACAGAAGAAGCACCGGCCAACUACGUGCCAGCAGCCGCGGUAAUACGUAGGGUGCGAGCGUUGUCCGGAAUUACUGGGCGUAAAGAGCUCGUAGGUGGUUUGCCGCGUUGUUCGUGAAAUCUCACAGCUUAACUGUGAGCGUGCGGGCGAUACGGGCAGACUGGAGUACUGCAGGGGAGACUGGAAUUCCUGGUGUAGCGGUGGAAUGCGCAGAUAUCAGGAGGAACACCGGUGGCGAAGGCGGGUCUCUGGGCAGUAACUGACGCUGAGGAGCGAAAGCGUGGGGAGCAAACAGGAUUAGAUACCCUGGUAGUCCACGCCGUAAACGGUGGGUACUAGAUGUGGGAUUCCUUCCUUGGGUUCCGUGUCGUAGCUAACGCAUUAAGUACCCCGCCUGGGGAGUACGGCCGCAAGGCUAAAACUCAAAGAAAUUGACGGGGGCCCGCACAAGCGGCGGAGCAUGUGGAUUAAUUCGAUGCAACGCGAAGAACCUUACCUGGGUUUGACAUGCACAGGACGCCGGCAGAGAUGUCGGUUCCCUUGUGGCCUGUGUGCAGGUGGUGCAUGGCUGUCGUCAGCUCGUGUCGUGAGAUGUUGGGUUAAGUCCCGCAACGAGCGCAACCCUUGUCUCAUGUUGCCAGCACGUAAUGGUGGGGACUCGUGAGAGACUGCCGGGGUCAACUCGGAGGAAGGUGGGGAUGACGUCAAGUCAUCAUGCCCCUUAUGUCCAGGGCUUCACACAUGCUACAAUGGCCGGUACAAAGGGCUGCGAUGCCGUGAGGUGGAGCGAAUCCUUGUUAAAGCCGGUCUCAGUUCGGAUCGGGGUCUGCAACUCGACCCCGUGAAGUCGGAGUCGCUAGUAAUCGCAGAUCAGCAACGCUGCGGUGAAUACGUUCCCGGGCCUUGUACACACCGCCCGUC
rnacentral:rRNA from 1 species